rnacentral:rRNA from 1 species
UACAGAGGUCUCAAGCGUUGUUCGGAUUCAUUGGGCGUAAAGGGUGCGUAGGCGGCGCGGUAAGUCGGGUGUGAAAUCUCGGAGCUUAACUCCGAAACUGCAUUCGAUACUGCCGUGCUUGAGGACUGGAGAGGAGACUGGAAUUUACAGUGUAGCGGUGAAAUGCGUAGAUAUCGUAAGGAAGACCAGUGGCGAAGGCGGGUCUCUGGACAGUUCCUGACGCUGAGGGCACGAAGCCAG